UGCAGAGCCCCAUUAAGCUUUCUCUCAGUGCUUUAAGUCACAGUUACGUUUGAGGAAUUCAGAACAUGUCCCAUCUGCACCAGCACCAGACUUGAUCCACUGCAGUAACUGAAGUGGCCUCUGAUCCCUGAAGAAUUCCACAGGCUGAAUGUAGCAGCAAAUGAAAGCUCUAAAGCCAAAAAACACGACAAAUAAGACAGCAGUUAACCAUGGAGCAAGAGGACACCAGUCAUGCACAGAUUUAGCCAAUUCCUUAAAACAACCGUGGGGAGGAGUAAUCACAAUUCCCUGCCAGAAUACACAGCUCUUAGAGGAACAAGGCACGCACAAGUGCUGAAAACCAGAUUAAUUAACUGCCCCUAACUGUCUGGCAGUAGCAAAAUGUGAUCAACAUCUAUGUUAUGGAUGAGCAAAGCGAUGGCUGGCUCACACAAUUAAGGGAUGAAUAUUAUGUGCACGUUAAGAAAAGCUUUAGUGAUAGAUAGUUAUGUUAUUGUGAUGUAUCUUCCCAUAGAUCUCUUUCCCCUCCUCCUCCUAUCGUUGUGAUGGGAUGGGCUCGGUAUCGGGGAAUUUGGGGAGGGCCGGCAACAGCAGACUCCGAUCGAGAUGUAAGACAGCGAUCUCCACCGAGAGAUGGCAAAGGAGGAGUGCACGGACAUGACUUGGGGAGAGGCUGGGAGUGUAAAAAGCAAAGCGUCCAUUUUUGUAGAGGAGCACGUGGCAGAUGGACAAAUGCUCCCGGUGCUGU